GACGAACCGACCGAACGUUAUUCGGAAUUACUGGGCUUAAAGGGUGCGUAGGCGGACUUGUAAGUCAGAGGUGAAAUCCCACGGCUCAACCGUGGAACUGCGUUUGAAACUACAAGGCUUGAGGGAGAUAGGGGUGAGCGGAACUGAUGGUGGAGCGGUGAAAUGCGUUGAUAUCAUCAGGAACACCGGUGGCGAAGGGGGCUCACGGGGUCUCUGUUUACGCUUAGGCACGAAAGCUAGGGGAGCGAACGGG
rnacentral:rRNA from 1 species